UCUUAGUGCUUCUUUGUUUGUUAAAAUUCUCAAUGCUUUCUUUUUCCUACAACCCUCUCAAUACUUUCUUUCAAAACUUCACAACUGUCGUAGAUGACCAAGUACAGCGGCUGUGGUGGUUCGAUCAUGUUCAUCACUAACAAUUUACGAGAUUACCGGUGGGGCGGUAAUCCGUUAUGGCGGACAAGGGGAUGGUGAGACGAUUCACAACGCCGACGGGCGGCGAUUAGGGCCCUACAAGUAGAAUAUGGCUGCUAACAAGUCAAAUGGAGUAGUUGACCUCCGCCGAUAUACAAGGUUGCUCAGAUCAGUAGAAUCAAAGGUUAAUCGGCAAACAACUUCCUGACAAUCAGGAUUCUGUGCGCCGUUAGCUGAGGCGGUGGUGGUGCACGUGUCAGCGGUGUAUAUGGUGGCGGUGGUGAACAUGGUUGUUGUUUUCUUCUACCUGUGAAAUGCAGGGUGCUUCAUGGGUUGAAUAGAGAACUUUGCAAUGAUAUUAGUAGCAAGCUUAUAAGAUUUAUGCAUAAGUAGACAUAAAAUACUAAACUUUUGUGUUAAAUGCUCUUCUAUUUAUCUUAUAGUUAUGUUGCAGAAUAGGAUAAUCCAGUUGGGACAGGAUACAGUUUUGUGGAGGAUGAAGAGUUAUUGGUGAAAAUAGAUGAAGAAGCUGCUAGGGACUUAACUACAUUGUUGAUUAAAUUAUUUAACAGGUACUGCAGGUUUAGUACGUCCUAUGACAAAUACUCACAUCAUCACAUGACCAGAGAGAUCUGGGACAACGUCGACACCAACGAUUAGUUUCAAGAAAGGGAAAAUUAAAGGAGAAGCAGAAGAUAGAUUUUUUUAUCUGAACCCAAAUAAAGAUAAAGUGAAGCGGAAGAACUGAAUCGGCGAUGCAGAGAUAUGCAGUCAUUAACCUUUGAGGAAAGAAAGGUCAACCCGCUCCACCUCCAGGUACACAUGCAUAAAGGCCAGACCAAAAAACAAUUAGCCAAUUACAAAUCUCCUCGGAUGCAAGUGAUGACCUGUCAACAAAAGGAAAACUUUUUUCAUGAAAGAAUUUCACACGCCUAUGUUUGUAUUGUAAGUCGUAGGAUAACGGAUGUAAGUGGUUUACAAAAUGGUGUUAUAGUUCAUUUUGAACCCAGUUUUCUACACAUUGUUCAUGAUACAUGAAACAACACCAAAAAUCAAUUAAACUUUAAAAUUGCAACUCCCUAUCCCAGUUUUUCAAAGAUGGAAGACAUUUUGACUUGGAAUAAUACGUUUUGAUUCGAGGGUA